rnacentral:rRNA from 1 species
CGGCGGACGGGUGAGUAACACGUGGAUAACCUACCUAUAAGACUGGGAUAACUUCGGGAAACCGGAGCUAAUACCGGAUAAUAUAUUGAACCGCAUGGUUAAAUAGUGAAAGACGGUUUUGCUGUCACUUAUAGAUGGAUCCGCGCCGCAUUAGCUAGUUGGUAAGGUAACGGCUUACCAAGGCAACGAUGCGUAGCCGACCUGAGAGGGUGAUCGGCCACACUGGAACUGAGACACGGUCCAG